rnacentral:misc_RNA from 1 species
AAGUCGUAACAAGGUUUCCGUAGGUGAACCUGCGGAAGGAUCAUUAAUGAAAUUUAUGACUGGGGUUGUCGCUGGCCUUUAAAAACGGCAUGUGCACGCCUCUUUCACUAAUCCACACACACCUGUGCACCUUUGCGGGGGCUCUUUGGGAACCGACGCAAGUCGUAAGUACCGGAGCUCGCGUCCCUUUACACACCCCUUUGUAUGUCUUAAGAAUGUCUACUCGAUGUAAUAAAACGCAUCUAAUACAACUUUCAACAACGGAUCUCUUGGCUCUC